rnacentral:rRNA from 1 species
AUAUCAAUAAGCGGAGGAAAAGAAACCAACAGGGAUUGCCCUAGUAACGGCGAGUGAAGCGGCAACAGCUCAAAUUUGAAAUCUGGCCCUAGGCCCGAGUUGUAAUUUGUAGAGGAUGCUUUUGGCGCGGUGGCUUCUGAGUUCCCUGGAACGGGACGCCAUAGAGGGUGAGAGCCCCGUAUAGUUGGACACCAAGCCUCUGUAAAGCUCCUUCGACGAGUCGAGUAGUUUGGGAAUGCUGCUCAAAAUGGGAGGUAAAUUUCUUCUAAAGCUAAAUACCGGCUAGAGACCGAUAGCGCACAAGUAGAGUGAUCGAAAGAUGAAAAGCACUUUGAAAAGAGGGUUAAACAGCACGUGAAAUUGUUGAAAGGGAAGCGCUUGUGACCAGACUUGCGCCCGGCAAAUCAUCCAGCGUUCUCGCUGGUGCACUUUGCCGGGAUCAGGCCAGCAUCGGUUUCCUUAGGGGGAUAAAAGCCUCAGGAACGUAGCUCCCCCGGGAGUGUUAUAGCCUGUUGCACAAUACCCUUCAGGGGACCGAGGUCGCGCUCUGCAAGG